GACGAACGCUGGCGGCGUGCUUAACACAUGCAAGUCGAACGGAAAGGCCCUGCUUUUGUGGGGUGCUCGUGUGGCGAACGGGUGAGUAACACGUGAGUAAACUGUCCUUGACUUUGGGAUAACUUCAGGAAACUGGGGCUAAUAUCGGAUAGGAGCUCCUGAUGCAUGGUGGGGGUUGGAAAGUUUCGGUGGUUGGGGAUGGACUCGCGGCUUAUCAGCUUGUUGGUGGGGUAGUGGCUUACCAAGGCUUUGACGGGUAGCCGGCCUGAGAGGGUGACCGGCCACAUUGGGACUGAGAUACGGCCCAGACGCCUACGGGAGGCAGCAGUGGGGAAUAUGACACAAUGGGCGGAAGCCUGAUGCAGCAACGCCGCGUGCGGGAUGACGGCCUUCGGGUUGUAAACCGCUUUCGCCUGUGACGAAGCGUGAGUGACGGUAAUGGAUAAAGAAGCACCGGCUAACUACGUG
rnacentral:rRNA from 1 species